rnacentral:lncRNA from 1 species
ACGAUCAACGAGGAGUUCUCAUACUCAUGUCACAUGAGAACUCAUGGUUGGGAUAAUGCAAAGUAGUCCUUGAAGGAAAUUUUUUUGUCCUAGCUAAGAACAAGUAUGAACAUUUGAAUACACAUGCAAGCUAUUAACACUUUAAAGUAGGCAUGCAUCCAAAAACAAUUCAUAAAACCCAUGACUUUCAAAGCCUAGUAUAUGGUGAACCAAAAUAAACUCUUUAACAACAUUAAAGAGAAGUAAAGAUUUAGUGAUUCUUUACCCUUGAAGCUCAUCCUUGAUUACACAAGGGAUUCACCCAAGUGGAGGGCCUUCAAGUCACCUCCAAGCUCCUUGAAUCCUUCUUGUGUUUUCCUCCCUUUAGUGCUCCUUUGAUGAUUUGAGGAAAAAGGAUUUGUUCUCCAAAACACCAAAAGCUUGAUGUCUCUAAGUCUCUUCACCAAGGUUGUAUCUUGUGAAGAUGAUAUGGAUGACUAAGGGAAGAAGAGAUUGCUAGAUGUCCCUCCCCUUAGUGGCCGGCCUCCUUAGAAGAAAAUGGAGAAAAUGUUUCACCCAAUUUCAACAAGAAAAAACCCUAAUGAGAAAAUAGCUAUAAAGUUGCUUUUAUAACAUUUUCUUUGGUGAGUGGCAAACUUGUAAUUAAGCAAACUUUGCCCAUCCACCCUAAUGGCCGGCCCUCCUUGGUGUUAUUGGGCUAUUUGCCCAUUUUGUUUUAGUUGUCAUACAACUUAAACAUAAUGGGCCUUGUGGACCAAAACGCUUUUGGGCCCCGAAACCCAAAACCAACAUAUAAGCCCAAUACGAACCUUUCGUAAAAUUAAUUAACUAAUUAAUUAAUCUUGACCAUUCUUCAAUUAAACCAUUUAAUUGCUUAUCCAUUUCAUAUAAUUUCUUCACAUACAUCCUUACUCGGUGUACGAUCCAUUAGGUUCCAAUUAGCGAGGCAGUGGGCGAUGUUACUCUUAACUAUCGAUUGUGAAUUGAAACCACAUUUCAAUUCUCCCUUUAAUGAUUAGUGUUACCUAAUCAUUUGGGCUUCCACAAACCAUGAGUGACACCUAGCAGUAUGUCAUGGUUACCCAAGCUAAGUAGAAUUGGUUGGAGAACCUAUCCAGUUACAACUACAAUGCAAUACGGUCCUUCUCUAAUACAAUACUCUUAAUCACAUUGUUUAAGUGAUAGUUUGUUUUAUGUCUACUAUCCAAUGUGAUACUUUCCUAUAUGAUUCCUUUGAAUAUGAUUUGGAACAAACUUCCUAAGUCAUAUUCAUUUGCUUUGGCCAAAGACUUUAGAAUCAUAUCUUAGAGUAUUCUCCCUCCACCAUGGAAGGUUAGAGAUCCCUUGUUGUACAUUCAUAUGCCUACAUGACUAGAUAGCUUGACCCCAACAAUGCCGUGGACACUCCAAAGGAAUGCCGUUGACAUGAUCAAAGAUCAAGGACCUAACCAUUAGACAUCGAUGAUGCCUCAGGUCAAAGGACUACUUUGCAUAUUGCAACUUUAGAGUUCAUACAUGACAUGUAUGUUCGAACUCUCUUUUGAUCGUCGUUCAGUGUACUCGAUUACCUUUUUCGAGCACCUAUGUGUUUGUCUUAGUGUCCAACACCAAAUGACUUGAGACUAGUUCAUACUCACGUUUGAGUCAACAUAACACAUACUAACCUUAGCGGAUUGUCAAUGCCCAAUUGGCAAUCCUAUGACUAGGAACGUUUUAGGAAUGAACAUAAGAGAAUGGUCUCGAUAAUCUAACUCACUUAGAUCACUUGUCUCUUAGAUCAAAUACAUCCCUUGGAUUCCCUUAUUACUUAAACACAUGAUACAAUAAAUAGUGAUUAACAAUAAGCUUCGCCCUUCAUUAAACAUAUAAAAGUUUAACACAAUAAGUAUUCCAAAAAGCUAUUACAUCAAAUGAGUGGCUUUGUGGGCAUACUUCCAACAAUCCUUUGACUUGAGGCAUCAUAGUUGUCUUGUGGUUAAGUCCUUGAUCUUCGAUUAUGUCAAAGUCACUCCAUCAGGAGGGUGUCCACGGCAUCGUCGGGGUUAAGCCAUUUAGCCAUGGAGGCAAGUGAAUGCGCAACAAGGGAUCUCUAACCUUCAAACCGUUUGGGGGAGAAUACUCUAUGAUAUGAUUAAGAAUCUCUGGCCAGAGUAUGAAUGAGAUUUAGGAAGUCGUUCCAAAUCACAUUCAAGGUAAUCAUAUAAGCACACGAAUCACAUUGGAUAGUAGACAUGAAUAAACUAUCAAACCAAACAAUGUGGUCAAGAGUAUUGUAUUAGAGAAAGACCGUAUUGCAUUUGUAAUCCUAAAUUGAAUAGGUUCUCCACCUCUUCUGAUUAGCUUGGGUAACCAUGAUAUGCUGCUAGGUGUCACUCAUGGUUUGUGGAAGCCCUAAACGUGUAUAAUCACUAAAGGGAGAAUUGAAAGUAAGUUUCAAUUCACAAUCGAUUUGAAAUGGUUUUAAUCGCCCACUGCCUCGCUAAAAGGAACCUAAUGGAUCGUACACCAAGUAAGGUAGAGAUUGAAGAAAAAUCGGAGAUGAGUAAGAAUAAUUAAAUGGUUUAAUUAUUUAUGGCAAGGAUUAAUUAAUAUGUUAAUUAAUCAAACGAAAAAGUUCGUUAAAGAACUCGGGAUAGUUUUGGACCUUAAGGCCCAAUGGGCUUCGAACGUCAAGUCCAUUGACUUAAGUUGUAUGACAACUUAAUGAAUAAUGAUUCACAAAGGCCCAAAUAGCCCAAUGAAUCCCUAUGGCCGGCCAUUUAGAGAUGGAGUGGGUUUUGGACUUAUUUACAAGUUUGCCACUCCAAUGAAUUAAGGUAUAAAUAUGACUUUAUAGCCAAAAUUCAUUUAGGGUUUCUUUUAGAGAAUUGGAAAGAACAUAUCUCUCCCUUUUCUCUCUAAGAGGCCGGCCACCCUUGGAGGGAUUAGCUAGUAAUCUUUCUCCUCCAAGGUCACUCAUCUCUUCUUCACAUCUGACCUUGGUGUGGAGACUUAGAGGUUCUCAAUUUUGGGAACUUGGAGAAACCUAUUCUUUCAUCCAAAUCCAUGGAUCUAAGAAGCAAGGAAUGAAGGCCCUCUUCUUGGGUGAUUAGCCUUUGCUUAUGCAAAGAGGAAUCUACAAAGGUAUAAAUUUCUUAACUCACUUUGAUUUGAGUUGAGUCUUGGUUCACCAAUCUACUAGGCUUUGAAUUUCAUGGUUAAUGUUUUGUUUUUAAGUGCAUACAAGCAUGAUUCCGCCUUUAAUUGUUAAUUGCAUGCUAAUAGAUGUUGCUUAAAUGAACAUGUUUUUCACAAAAUUUCCUUCAGUUUUGGUUUUUUUUUUUUUUCAAAUCUUGGUGGUUGGAUUUUGAGAUCAAGGCUAUGAGUGGGUUUGGGUUUCAAAUCUGCAUCGGGAAGGGGGGCAAACGGAGUUUCCCACAAGCAUGCUUGCAGACUAGCAACGUUCAUACGACUUGCAGAUAGUUCUGAAAACAUGACUAGCAAUCCCAUGGUUUUUCAGGGGUUUCGCCAAGACCGGCUAAUCCUGUGAUUAGUCGAGGCGAGUGAAGGUUAGUGCCAUUAAAGUUAGUCCAAUGGGUAACAAACAUGGGACUGAACUAACCCUUAGUCAAGUCCAGUCCAGUGAGAUCAAAGGGAAACAAACACCCCCUAAGUGUUUUUGAAUCCAUCCUUUACAAGGGGACAUGCAUUCUACGAAACAAGUUUCUAUGAUCCAACCGUUCUACAUGUUUCUAUAUAUUUUGAGAUCUCCUACACCAAAAAUCACCCAAAAAAAGUUUAGAGAUUAGUUAACUAGAUAAAAUCAUUCGACGGUUAAAAUGAAAAAUAAUGAUUUAAUGAUCGUUUUAGCUUCGAUUUUGUUAAUUUGUUACAAAUACAUUCCUCAACCCUGGAAGAAUAAGAUGAAUGAACCUGAAUCAUCAAUUUAAAAUAUUUAAAGUAGUGGAUACAACAAAAAAAUUUGUUCUACUUAAUAUAAAUAUCGAAUAAACUCUUUUAAGCAUUUUAGAAUCCUUUACAAAGGGACACGCAUUCUACGAAACUAGUUUCCACGAUCCAACCAUCAAACAUGUUUGCAUAUACAUCGAGAUCUCCUAUGCCAAAAAAAUAAUGUUCGGAGAUUGGGUAACGGGACGGAAUCAUUCGACGGUUAUAAACGAAAAAAUCACGAUUAAAGGUCAUUUAGCUUCGAUUUUGUUGAUUGUUUACAAAUACAAUCCUAAACACCCCAGAAGAAUAAGAUGAAUGAGCCUGAUCAUCAAUUUAAAAUAUUUAAAGUCGUGGAUACAAAAAAAAAUGACAUUCUACUUAAUGGAAAUACAAAACAAACUCUUUAGUGUUUUGGAAUCCAUUCUUUACAAGGGGACACAUAUUCUCUUAAACUAGUUUCCAUGAUCCAACCCUCAAAUAUGCUUGCAUAUAUUUCGAGAUCUCCUAUGCCAAAAAUCACGCAAAAAAUGUUCAUAGAUUAGGUAGCAAGACAAAAUCAUUCAAACGUCAAAAUAGAAAAAUCACGAUUAGCUUGGAUUUUGUUUAUUUUUUUUACAAAUACAAUCCUUAACCCUAGACAAAUAAGAUGAAUGAACUUGAUCAUCAAUUUAAAAUAUUUAAAAGGGUUUUUUUUUUAUCAAAAAUGGUCCUUGAAAUUAACCAUCAUCAUGAAGAUGGUCCUUGAAAUUGAAAAUUAAUCAACGUUGUCCCUAAAUAGGUUUUGCAAAUCAAUGUUGUCUUCUCAUUACAAUUAUGUUAAAACUUUAGUUAAGUGCUGAUAUGACACAUAAAUGGGUCCUAUAAGUUUUUUUUUCUCACAAAUGAUCGUUGAAAUUGACCGACGACAUCAAAAUGGUCCUUGAAAUUGACAUGCGACAUCAAAAUGGUCUCUGACUUGAAAAUUUAUCAAUGUAGUCCCGCAAGUAAGUGUCCUAAAUCAAUAUAGUCCUUCCAUCACAAGUCUGUCAAAAAUUUUGUUAUAUGCUAAUGUGACACAUGAAUGGAUAACACAAGUCUAAUUAAAUUAAAAAAAAUUACAAAUUGGUUUAAUAAUUCAAUGGUUAAUAAAAAGUUGUGAACUAAAAACCUAGUCGUGCAAUAACCUCUGAUCCUAUUCCACAUUUCUCUACCUCAUUCACUGUCUAUUCUCUAUAAAAAAAUCUCAAUGCACCCAUCUUUACACACUUCGACACCCUUCACCGAAUUGAACCUGGAUCAAGAUCACCUUUGGUGACGGAUUGGAUGAUUGGCAACGACUUCUGGGAGAUCACAUUUAACAUUUAGGCAAUUAACAUCCUCACAACCUUAAUCUUGCAGAGCUUGUUCGGUGCUUCCUUGGUAGUCUGAUGACUCAAAGAACGACGAUGUCUGUCUGUCUUAAGAUAAUGAGGUUAUGACCGAGGUGCAUCUAUUAUUGGUUGAAAACUAUUUCCAAAACCCCUCUUAGGCCUUGGUUAAGGGUUGGUUUGGUAUUGUUAUGCUUUGAAAAGAAACUGCUUCUGCUGUACUGCGAGAAUAAACAGCUAUGAAAUAAAGUAGUAGAGUGUUUGGUAAACUUUUUUUGUAAAAGUGCUUUUAGCAAAAAAAAAUAAUGUUCAAGUGUUUGAUAAAUUUUUAUGUAAAACCGCUACGAUUGUAUAAAAUGAUUAAAAAAGAUAUGAUGUUGAAUAUUAUAUAAUAAUUUUUUAUCUUUUCUUUUAUUAUGACAUUUAUAAGAUUUAUAUAAACUAUUUAUAAACAGUUGUGAGCUUUGAAGAAUGUACUUUUACUUUUUUUUAAGGUAUUUAUAAUUUUUUUAUUCUAUUCUUUUCUUUAAGAGUCGUUUCUUCAUUACUUUUUCCCUAUUUUAUUUUUGCACAACCUUUGUAUAUUCUAUCUUCCGCCGCUCACUCCCUCUUUCCCCCUUCUCUUUCUAUCUCUCUCUGCCUGAUCCUAAGGAAGGCUAGGUCGUGGGGAAAGGAAGGCUAGGUCACAUCAACCAAUUAACAGAAGAUGAAUGAACUCUGAUUUCAAGACUUACCGUCUGUAUUAGCGGCGAAGGUGUCAACGCUUCACAUUGAGAUUUUGGGUGUCAAACAGAAGGGUGCAAAUCUAGUAUUCUUUAUGUAAUGAGAGUUUCAAGAUGGUGGUGGUGGCGUUGAAAAACUCCACCGGAGUUGGUUGAAAUCAGCUUUGGAAAAUGGGUGAUCACACAGGUUGUUUUGGGUUGAAAGGCUAACAGGAAUGGAGGGGAAAUAUCCCUCUUUUUCCUGAUUUCCUACUGCCUUCUUUCUCCAAUUUUGAUUGGUUGCUUGUCCUUUAAUUGCAUUGGUCCUUUAACCUUUUAACUUGAUUGGUUAGUCUUCCCACAAGGUGGGAGUUAAUUUAAUUAAAACUAAACUUUGAAUAACCAAUUUCGAAUGUCCAAAAUUGUCACAUCCUUGCCCGGGUUGACCACAUCCCUGGCUCGACUCCGCUGUAGUACGAUAUUGUCCGCUUUGGGACCCAACCAUGCCCUCACGGUUUUGUUUCUGGGAACUCACACGAGAACUUCCCAGUGGGUCAACCAUCAUGGGAUUGCUCUCGCACGAACUCGCUUAACUUCGGAGUUCCGAUGGAACCCGAAGCCAGUGAGUUCUCAAAAAGCCUCGUGCCAGGUAGAGAUGGGAAUAUACAUAUAAGGCUUACAUGAUCCAUUCCCUUGGGCGAUGUGGGAUGUUACAAUCCACCCCCCUUAGGGUCCUCGUCGACACACUUCCAACCAGGGAUUGGCUCUGAUAUCAAAUUGUCACAUCCCGGCCCGGGCCCACCACAUCCCAGGCUCGACUCUGCCGUAGCAUGAUAUUGUCUGCUUUGGGACUUGACCAUGCCCUUACAGUUUUGUUUCUGGGAACUCACACAAGAACUUCUCAAUAGGUCACCCAUCAUGGGAUUGCUCUCGUGCAAACUCGCUUAACUUCGGAGUUCCGAUGGAACCCGAAGCCAGUGAGUUCCCAAAAGGCCUCGUGCUAGGUAGAGAUGAGAAUAUACAUAUAAGGCUUACAUGGUCCAUUCCCCUGGGCGAUGUGGGAUGUUACAUUCACCAUCAAGACAUACGCAUCUCUUUUAAAUACUGGUGUCCGUAUAGUUUGGUGUCAGUUCGACGUGCUUAUACUCUUACGAAUAUAAUCAGCAUGACUGAACCCAGCACCGAUGAUCCGUGAACUUCGCAAGCCUAGUAGCCUUCUCUUCAGGCUCUAGAACCCGAAGGUCAAGACGUGUUCCUUCCUCGAUCGCAGUCGCAAGAUCGAGAAGUCAACAGCGUGCUCAACGCAACAUUAACAUAUUUUACUCCCCGACUGAGCUCGGCCAACGAGUUGCCACGCCCCACACACAAUCGAAUGAUGUAGUUAGCUUAUUAAUUACUCGGCCUGCGCACCACAUAAGCUUGGUAGUUUUUAGGAUCAACAUUUUGGCACACCCAGUGAGACAUAGUGCUAAAACCACGAAGUUCAUGACCAUUGAGACACGAUCGGUUAAAAAGAAAAUAGUCAUGAGAAAGUGCACGACCAAUCUUCCAGUCCAAAACCCAAGACCAGAUGACUUGUCACAAGCACAUAAUCUUCCUGUUGCUUGAUGCAAAAAUUAACUUAACACACAAAUUAAACCAUCUUUUGACAAUUGUAGUAUAUUUAUAAGUAGGUUUUCUAGGCAGGGGAUUAGGAGGGAUUGCUAAUUGAUUCUAAACUGACUUAAAGACACAAAAACAAACUUAAAAAUGAUAGGAUAGAUUCAAAAAACUCAAAACUAGUUCACAAGACUCAAAAUAAGAUAAAAACACUCAAAACUGCCUAAAAACACCAACUAGGCAGUUUCUAACACUAAACACAAUUUUGGAUGAAUGUAAGGUUUGGGCUUGACUCAAAACACUUAAAAACACAAACAAAACAAGUUUAAAACAAUUUGAAACAAGAAAGUAAAUGGGGGUUUUGUUUUGGAUGAAUUUAAAAUAACAAAACAGAUUGUAAUUUAAAAACAGGUUUGUAGACAAUUUUAGGAAAUUAGAUGGAUGAUGGGAUAGCUAGAGGCUUUUCCUCCACAUAUGACAUGUAUGCAAACGACUCGAUUUCCAGUUACUACUUCAUUGAAUUAUGAACGACAAUGCCUCAAAUUAACCGUGACAUCACUAGUUAACCCUCAGAUUUUCCUUGUUUUAUUGGAUUGGAUGACAUCAUUCGACAACCCAAAGUAUUCUUCAAAAGUUCCCUACAUGACAUCAUAAUAGAGAUACGAUCAAAGAUCAUUACGUUCAAUGAAAAUCAUAAGCAUUGAUAAAGCACUUGCAACUAUGACAUCAUGUCACUCAUGCUAGGAAGUAAACUUAACGCGAUCGUGAUCAACAACCUUCACUACAUAUGAAUAUAAGUUUGUAACGAUUAUGUGAAACUUCCUUAUAUUCUAGCAUCGGAUUUAUGCAUGCCAAUUAACACUAUGUUUGGAUGAAGAAAUUUAAGAUUACUAAGGAAUUUUAAAAUGAUGGAAAUUGAAAUGAAGGGAUUUUAUUUUCUAGAAUUUGUGAAUGUUGUUGUUUGGUUAACUUAAAAGACCAAUGGAAUUGAAAACGGAAUUUGUUAAUUUUAAGCUCCCAAUCAUAGAAAUUGGGAAAUGACACCUAUUUACAUGGAAUUUAAACUUGGAAAUUGGAGGCCCCAAAUUCCAAGUUUUUUUCCAUGCAGAAAUUCUAAAUUUCUAUGUUAUAAAUCCAAACAAGGGAAUUGGUGCAUGUCAAUUUAUAAAUUCUGAUCCAAAUUCCAAGUUUAUUUCCCUCAUCCAAACAGACCAUAAGUGUCGACCCACAAUUAACAAACACAAAUAAGUUAUCAAUUAAGCAGUUAAGCCAAUUGCAUUCACGAUUCAAGAAUUCAUAACUGGAAUUUAUCAACUCAUAUUGCACACAUAAUGAUAGGAGCAUAUUUAUGCGACUUAGUUGGCUUGUUCUUAAGCAUUUAUGUUGUUUUUCUUUAGUUAUUUUAGUGUUUAAAGUCAUUUUCGUGCAAUUUUAGGUUUAGAGACGAAGUAUGCAAGAAGUGCAAAAUGGAGCAUUUUAGAGCAAAAUUGAGCUAGAAUGGAGUGUAUGCUAAUGGAGCACAAGGAAUGGACGAGUUUGAAGGUCAAAGGAGCUUAAGAAAUGAAGAAAUGAAAGUGAAGAACAAAGAAUUCAGAUUUGGAAACCAAAGUUUCUAAAGUUGGAAGUUUCUAUUCUUGGAGGUUUCCAUUUUCGAGAGUUUCUAUUCUUGGUUUUGGGCUUUUAGAUGACCUAAACCCUAAUUCCUUGUGGACCCUAACCCUAGCCGCACCUUAGGCCUUAUUCCCACUAAAAAUCUGAUUGUUUUAACCUAAUUUCUGGUGGAUUUGGGCUUCUAGAAACCCUAAUCUGAUUACCCUAGGGUUUUGGAUGCCUAUAUAUACUCAUUAUAACCCCUAGAUCAGAUCACCACCUCUCAUACACAAUCAUUCACGCCAGAAAUCUGCCCUUGCAUUCUGCCGCACCUUCCCAUCACCAAAAUCCCAAAAUUCUGCCCAAAAAUCAUCCCUAGCCGUACCCCCAUCAACCCUAAACCUUUCCCUACCAUUCCCCAUCCAUUCUACACCCUAAAUACCACCCAAAACCUAUCCUAAACUUUUCUGCCGCAGCAAGGAGGAAAGGGAAAUCAUUGAUGAUCUUGCUGCCAAGUUGGAGCCUUCUAGGUGUUUUCUUUCUUUGGGUUUUAAUUUCUAAAUUUAUGUAUCUUUGCUUUGCAAGUAUGAGGAACUAAACCCCCCUUGGCUAGGGGGGGGAUUCGAAACCAUGUUUAUGCUUGCUAUAUGAUUUGAUUACUUCUAAUUGCGUUUCAUAAGUUGUGAUUUCAAUUUGCUUAUCUAUGUGAAUUAAAACUUAUUCUUGUAUGUUGAUUGAGGGUCGACACUUAGUUUGCAUGCAUGAAUUUGAUGCUAGGAUAUAAGGGAAUUUCACCUAAUCGUUAUGAACUUAUAUUCACAAGUAGUAAAGGUUGUUGAUCACAAUCGUGUUAAGUAAAUUCUUGGCAUAAGUUUCAUGCAAUUCAUAGUUACGAGUGCCUCGUCAAUGCUUAUGGUUUUCAUAGAACUUAAUGAUUCUUGCUUGUAUCUCUAUUAUGCAAUCAUGUAGGGGACUUGUGGGGAAUGCUUUGGGUUGUCGUAUGCAAUCAUCCAAUUCAAUAACGUUAGGAAAAUCUGAAGGUUAAUUUAAGCGGACCUAAUUAACUUGGGGCGUUGAGAAUUCAUGGGUUAUUGAAAAGCAAUUGGAAAUCGUUUUGAAUGCAAGUAUAACAUGUGUGGAGAUGAACCCCUUAGCUAGCUUUCCAUCCAUUCAUUUAAAUCAAAUUCGUUUUAAAAUCUGUUUUGAUUUACAAGUUUAUGUUUUGUUUUCAAUUUCGUAAAAACCAAAUCCCCCUUUGUUUUCAAGUGUCAAAUUAGUUAGAGAGUGUGUUAGUUUGUGUUUUUAAGUGUUUUGAGUCAAGUUAAAACCUAUUUUCGUCAAAAUCUUGUUUAGAGUUCAAAACUGCCCAGAAAGUGGUUUUAAGGCAGUUUUGAGUGUUUUUGUGUUAUUUUGAGUCUUUUGGUUUGUUUUGGUGUUUUAAGUUAUAGUUUUACAUUCUUUGAGUCUAGUUUAGUGUUUUAAACUUUGUUUUUACGUUUUUGAGUCAGUUUUCAAGUGAUUUAGCAAUCCCUCCUAAUCCCCGGCCUAGAACGAUCCCUACUUACAUACUUACUACAAUUGAUAAAAAGAGGGUUAAUUUGAGUGCUAGUUAAUAUCAUAUCACAUAAUCAUGGCUUUGAAAUCACCCCUAGCCAAGAAGGGUUUAGCCACUCAUGUUCACAGCAAAACAAAAGAAAAAAAAUUAAACAUUGUAAAUAUAGAACGAAUUACACCUAGAAUGCUUCAACAAUCAAGCUUGAACAUCCAAGAGUACUCCCUUCUUUCUUUACUCACGGCACAAGGUUUGGUGUAAGGUUUGGGUGGUGAUUUGUAUGGAAAAAUGGCUGAGAAGAUGAAGGGAUGUGUAUGGAUGAAGGUUAGAUGCGGCAAGUGAUGGUUUGAUGUGUUUUUGGUUGUGUUAAAUGGUGGUGGAAGAUGGAUCAAAAUCUGAACACUUACGGCUGUUACACACACUUCCUUUUAUAGAAGGAGUGCACUGCUUAGGGAAAGAAAAGGGAGUGGAAUGGUGCAGCAAUGAUUCCAUGAAAUGGUGCAGAAAUGAGUGCAUGAAGUGGACAAGGAUGGUGUGCACGGCAUAGGAAAGGAAAGUGGAGUGAUGGUGCAACAAUGAGUGCAAGGUGAUAGGAGCAUAUUUAUGCGACUUAGUUAGCUUGUUUCUUGGCAUUUAUGUUGUUAGUACGUAGUUAUUUUAGUAUUUUAAGCUAUUUUCGUGUGUUUGUAGGUCCAAAGGGUUAAUGUGGCAAAGAAGUGCAUUUUGGAGCAUUUUGGAGCAUUUUUUGGCAUGGAAUGGAUAACAUAUGCUUGGAGCAAAAGGAAUGGACAAAAUUUGAAGUUUGUGCAUCAUCCUCUCCCUAUAAAUAACAAUUUUAGCACACUCAUUUCACCCCACACAUCCAUUCACCUACCACUACAUCCACUCAUUUCACCCAACACAUCCAUUCUCCAAACAUUCAUCCACUACACCCAUUACAUCCACCCACUACACCCAUUACAUCCACUCAUUACCAAAUGUCCACCCACUACACCCAUUACAUCCACUCAUUACCAAACAUUCAUCCACUACACCUAUUACAUCCACUCAUUACCACAACACUCACCCACUACACCCAUUACAUCCACUCAUUACAACUCCAUACACUCCUCUCCCUAGCCCAUAAAUACAUCCACCCUUCACCAUAAUUUGGGGGACCAUCAUCCAAAGACACCACAUCAUCUACACAACUCUCCACCAUUCACCAUAACUCACCUAUAUCCAUCCACCACCACAAGAGACCAUCCAUUCACCACUCACACCUUGGUGCCGCAUAUUUGCAAGGAAGGAGGAUUGCUUAGAGUUGUGCUAGUCAUUCAAUUUGGAUUGCUGGAGCAUUCUAGGUGUAUUCUACUUUGGUUUUCAAUAUUUAAUUUCAAUUGUUUCUGUUUAAUUGCAAGUAUGAGGAACUAAACCUCUUUUGGCUAGAGGAGAAUUCGAAACCAUGAAUAUAUUUGCAAUAUGAAUUGAUUUCUUCCAAUUGUGAUUUGAUAAGUUGUGAUUGCAAUUCAAUUAUCUAUUUUAUUCAUAACGGAUUUGUGUAUGUUUAUUAAGGAUGCAUACUUAGUUUUCAUGCAUGAAUUUGAUGCUAGGAUAUAAAUAAGUUUCACCUAAUCGUUACAAGUUUAUAUUCCUGAAUGGUGAAGGUUGCUUGUCACAAUCGCGUUAAUUGAAUUCUUGGCAAACGUAUCAUGCAUUCAUAGUUACAAUUGCCUCGUCAACGCUUAUGAUUUUCAUGGAACUUAAUGAUCUUUAAUUGUAUCUCUAUUAUGCAUUCAUAUAGGGGACUUUUAGAGAAUGAUUUGGGUUGUUGCAUGCAUUCAUCCAAUUCAAUGAGUAUAGGGGACUUUUAGAGAAUGAUUUGGGUUGUUGCAUGCAUUCAUCCAAUUCAAUGAGUAAAGGAAAAUCUGAGGGUUAAUUUGUGCAUCACGGUUAAUCUGGGGUGUUGAGCAUCAUAGUUUAUUGAAAAGCAAUUGGAGAUUGAUUUGUAUGCAAGUGUGUCAUGUGUGGAGAAAGACCUUCUAGCUAGCUCAUCAUCCAUCCAAAACAACCAAUUUCGUGCAAAUCUGUUUAGUUCUAGUUUCUGUUUUGUUUUACUUUAUUUCCGUCCAAAACCCAAUCCCCCUUUACUUUAGUGUGUCUAAUUAGUUAGAAUCGGUUUUAGUUUGUGUUUUUAAGUGUUUUGAGUUUAUAGAGUCUAGUUAAGUGUUUUUAAGUUUCUUUUUGUAAGUCGGUUUAGUUUAGAUUAGCAAUCCCUCCUAAUCCCCGGUCCAGAACGAUCCCUACUUAUACAGAUACUACAAUUAUCAAAAGAGGGUUUAAUUUGAGUGCUUAACUCUCAUCGCAUCAAAUUUUGGCGUCGUUGCCGGGGAUUAGCAACUUUGCUAAUCCCCCGUUGUUUCUUUUUUAUGUCUUUUUUUUUAGUUACUGACUUUGUUUCUUUUUGUGUCUUUUAUUUUUACUUAUGAUAUUUGCUUUAGUUUUGUUUCCUUGAUUUCAAGUACUAGAGAAGCAAGACAUGGAUUUUGCUACCAUUCAAGCUCAAUUGGCGAAACUUACUUCUCAAUUGUCACAAGAUGCCGAAAGGGCCACAAUGCAAAGUGUCCCUACAGAUGGUGUGUCUUAUGGGCAAGGAUAUCCAACUCAUCAAUGUUCUCAAUUAGCUGCAAAUGAAGAUGCUUGGGGUUAUUAAGGUCAUAGCCAAUCAGGGGACAACAUGUUUUCCAACGCUUACAAUUCAAAUUGGAAAGAUUAUUCAGAUUUCAUGUGGGGAGAACCUCAACAAUUCCAACAAGAUGGGUAUUGGCAGCAAGAAGGGGAAUUCUAUUCAAGACCUAUGCAGCCACCAUAACAAUCUGCCCAAUUCAAUUCAGGUACGUCUUUGGAUAAUGAUAUGUUUAAUAAGUGACUCACCUCUUUGAACCAGGAAGUAGAAAAUGGAAACAAAGAGAUGCAAAAUCAAGCCAAGAAGACGGGAGAAUUGGAUAAGCAAAUUGGGCAGAUUAUGGAGUUCAUGGCAUAAAUUCAAAAGCAAAGUGAACUCUCCAACUCAACUAUUGAAAAUUUGAAGGAAGAUUUUGAAAUCCAUGAUGUUAUCACUUUGGGAAGUGCUACGGAGGUUGGAGGUGAACCCAAGACAUCCAAACCAAGCCAAAACAUGGAUAAAUAGUUGCUGCUCGAAGAAGAGGGGAAUAACAGGGCCACGGCAAGGGAAGAACCACCCUUGCCGCAGCCCCAUAUGCCCUCUAUGCCGUCCACUACAACCAAGGUAAGCCUAAAUUCAAUUUUUCCUGACCCCGUUUCACCAAAUAUCCUUAUUCCUUGCAGGAUCAUGCAAUCCAAGGAAGAAGAGGGUGAGAAAGGCAUCUUUGAAACCUUUUCAAAGACUCAAGAGCAAGAAGUGGAUGGGGAAUGUCUAGAAUUCAUCAAAGAAGAUACACUUGAGACGAAAAUUCCCAAAUAGGUUGGAUUUUAUGACACGGGACAAGUCAUAACUCUCAAAACACCAAAUCUAGCCAAGUCCCAUAUCCCUGCAAUCUUCAAAGAUGUGGCGUUUGUAAUUAAGUUUGUGUUGGAGCAAGCAAGUAAGCCAUCUUCUCCACCUUUGAUUUUAUUAUAUACUAACUUGCUGAUUUUGAUGAUUCAGGCACCUACACUAGAAUUUAAACCAUUGCCGGAUCACGUCAAGUAUCACCGUCCAUUCAAGGAUCAAUUCCAUGCUAUGGACCCUAUCCAAGUUUAGAAGGAAGUUUCGUCCGGCUGGAAGACGUUAAAGCAAGCGCUUCUUGGGAGGCAACCCAUGUAUUCAAAUAAGGAAGAUUUUUGAAUUGCUCCACAAUCAGUGUUGCGUUUCUAAAAACCUUCCCUUUUUCGCAGUUUUAUUUUGCCAUGAUUAUCAUUUUUAUUUGUUGCUUGUUUAAUUGUUUUUGGUGUGGGUUUAUUUUUGAAACACUGACAAUUAUGCAAGGUACUUUUAUAUUCAUAAAAAAGAAAGGAACAUUAAGCAGAUAAAUACAAAAGGGAGCCUUCACAAAGGCUGCUUAGGAGAAGUCUCAGCAGUCGGCGGAGCCCCAGAAGGAGGAGGCAUCGGAGGUUGAUCAUUUGGAGCUUUAUUACGCGGUAUAGCCCCAGAAGACGAAGGCAAAUCCUGUUGGAACAAACCCACAAACCUCUGAUGAUCAAGUAAAAUCUAACCAUCAGAUUCCUGCAUCUGGUCAAUCUUCCUCUUCAUGUUUGUAGCAUAAUUAUGGGCGAGCCUGUGCAGCUAUUUAUUCUCAUGCUUAAGCCCUCUAAUCUCCUGCUUGAGACUCAUCACUUCAGCCGCCAAUGAUUUAACUUGACGGGUUCGGGUAAAUAGGCAUUGGGCCAUAUUAGACACGGAACCUGCACACUGCACACUAAGAGCUAAAGAAUCCUUAACAAUCAACUCAUUAGACCGUUUGGUAAGUAGUCUGUUAUCUUUGGGAGUGACAAGGUUCCUGGCCACCACCGCAGUUGUCAUAUCAUUCUUCAUCACCGAAUCCCCAACGGUAAGGGGACCAAUAAGAGAUAUGAAGGAUGGGCGCCAUAUGUUGUCUGGAAAAGGCGGGACUGCCUCUUCACGAAGGUUUAAGUCAAAACGACUGUCGGAGGGGCCAGACAUUUUCAGAGGUGUUAAAGAAAUAAGAGGUUGGACAAGUCAAGAUCGUAGAAGUGCAAGAAGGGAGUUUUUACAGGCAGAAAUUCAAGUGUGCUUUAAACGUCCUGCGUACCUCUAUAAAAAUCAUCACUCGAUGGGAUUUCAGAGAUCGAAGAGGCGAGCUCAGAAAUCGAAGAGGCCAACUCAAAAAUCAAAGAGGCGCUAGCUUUCUCAAAAGCUAGGCUUGCUCAGAAACCACGACCAAUCUUCUUUUCCAGAUUUGUCCGCACUUGUCACAUGCAACCUCUGCACUUGAUGGGAUUUCAGAGAUCGAAGAGGCAAGCUCAAAAAUUGGAGAAGCAUCUGAUUUUCCAGACGUGUCAGCAUUUGUCACAUGCAGAGUCAGCUUUGCCGAAUUCAAAGGCAGUUUGUCGAAGCGCUUUUCCAGACAUGUCAGCAUCUGUCACAUGCAGAGUCAGCUUUGCAGAAAUCACAGGCAUUUUGUCGAAGCUCCGAUUCCAGAUAUCGAAGAGGCACUUGUUUUUCCAGAAUUGUCAGCACCUGUCACAUGCACACUCAGCCUUGCGGAAAUUACGGGCAAUCUGUUGAAGAUCUCUUGUGAAGUAGAAAGCAAGUGAAGUUUACUAUUAAAUCAUCCAACGGUUGCUGACAAAAGUGAAAGAAUAGUACCGGUUAUUAAUUCCUAUAAAUAUCACCCCUCACCCUCCAUUGCAAGGCAGACAUACAUAACCUUUCUUAUUCUCCGAGAAUGCCUUUCCAAGAAACCCUCUCGAGUCACUAAGUGUUCCUUAUUCCUUGGGGUACCUCUGCAAAAAAACUCAUCCAAAGCAAAAGUAUUUCAUAUCAUGAAGGUUGAAAGCAAGAGUAUCUCAUAUCAUGCUUUCUCCCUGUCCUUCUCCUUGUCGUUGUUUUGGGACAAGGAGAAAGAAAGCAAUCAGCCAGUACUUGGUAUCAAUCUUCCGAUCUGGAACCGACUACCUGGAACCCCUUCCUGAUUGCUUACCUAGCCUUGCUCUCGAGUACUCAUCUUCAUCAUUUUAUGCUUCCUCUUCAUCUACCACAUCUGCUUGGGGAACAGAUAAGGGAAGUGAAAAUGAUACCUCGAAACAUGUGGAGACAAUUUGCCAAUUCAUCCUCAGCUAGGGAUAAGGAGAAAGAAAGCAAGAAGUGGGCACUUGGAAAGGUUGAAGAAAGAAACAGACCAACACCUUUACCUCGUGCCUGCUUGCUGUGCAGAAGAAAUAAGCAGAGAAGAAUACAAACUGCACAAUCAAAUCAACCCAGCAGAAGGAGUCUGAUUUGAAACCAAGGAACUCUGAUAUUCCUCGCUCAGAAUUCCAAACCAGUUCGAGAUCAAAGCUGUGGAAAGUCAACAAGAUCAUCUAUCUCCAAAACUAGAUUUGCGUUCUUAAACUCUACUCUGUCUGUUUUUUGUUUACUUUGCUAUACUUGUCAUGUUUAUUCGUUCUUUGUUUAUUUGCUUGUUUUUGUGUGAGUUUAUGCUUGAAACAUUGAGGACAAUGUUUGAUUUAAGUGUGGGGGGGGGGGGGGGUAACCAUUGUUUUGCAUGAAAUUCGUAGGAGUUUAUCACCCAUUACUUCUAAUGUUGUUCCUUGCUGUUUUAAGUGUUUUUAAGCUGUUUUUGAGUUAUUUUGCAUGAAAUUCGUAGGAGUUUAUCACCCAUUACUUCUAGUGUUGUUCCUUGCUGUUUUAAGUGUUUUUAAGCUGUUUUGGAAUGUUUCAGUGUGUUUUGACAUAAAAAUCCGAAAAUCUCAUAAAAAUUUGAAAAAUUAUUUUGAAAAACCCAAAAACAGUUGUUUUUGUAUGUUUAUUUGUGUCUUAGGGUACCUUCCAACACAAUGAUGAGGAUUUGGUUUUUAAUUACAUGACUGUUAAAGAGAGUUAUAAACAUGGAUGAAAAUUUGAUUUACUCUUUGGUGUAUGCUUGGUUGUGGUUAUAAUUUAUGAAUUCACAUGCAAUCAUAAAGGAAAAAUCAAUUUUUGUAACAUGCUUGAAGGAAGGAACUCAAAUGAAUGCUACAACCUUGUGAGACUUGAGCCUAAACGUUUAUUUGGAGAGUUAAUAAUCUGUGCACUAUUGUUUUCUAAAGUCGUUGCAUGAUCUCAUUAUUCUUUGCUUGGUUGAUACUUAGAAGGCGUUUCAUCAUUUAGUUCCAAAUGCUAGAACUCAUGCCUAUUUCAUUCAAAGCAUGCUAUUGAUUUGCAUAACACAUAUUCAAGAUGAAGUUGUGCAGUGACCACCACAGCCAAAUUGUCAUGCCCUAUUUCAUUAUGUGUUUAAGUUUAACCCCGUUGAGCCUUUUGUAGCCUAUGUUCUUUGUUAACCCACACUAUCCUCACCUAGCCUAGAUUAGGACCAUCCAUACCCUUGUUCUUGAAGCAUAGUAAAACAUAAUUUAGAAGGAAUUCCUUUUGUUGAACUUUUGCAGAAAAACAAGUGUGGGGGAAGUGAUUCUUGUGUGUGUGUGUGUGUGCGCCAAAGUCCUUAAUAAGGCACGGAUAGAAAAGAAAAAGAAAAAAAGAAACAUUCGUGGAAAAUAGAAUGAAAAGAAGAAAAGUUGUGAAAAGAGUGAAAAAGAGUUGAAAAAUAUGUGAAAAAAAACUCUAAAGUGUUGUUUGUUGAAGAAAGGGUCCAAAACAUUGAAUUCGGCCCUAAGUGUUGCUUGAAUCUUCCCUUUGUGAAAAGUUAAUUUCUGCAUUAUUAAGUGAAUUCCAAGUGUCUAUUUCAUUACUUUGCUUGCUAUUGCUUUCAGAACGUUUGUUAUCCUUAUCCUUUCUUUGUUAGCCAUUACCCUUAAACCCCGUUACAACCCUUAACUUUAUCUUGAGUGUUAUGCGUUUCAAUAUGUGGAGUUUGGAAUUGCUUUGAGCAUAUGGUGUCACUGGUUCUUGCAUCUAAGUAGUAGCAUUCCAUUCAUGAGAUCAUAUCUAAAAUGCUCAAUAACUCCAAAAAAUUGCCCUCUUUGUUAUAUAUAUAUGUGAGUGUUCGUGUUCAUGUUUACAUAAAUCUUCUCACAUAUAACUAGUGUAGGGUGUGUAGUCAGAAAAUGUGUGUGAAAAUAGAAAGUAUCUUGUAAGGAAUUGAGUAAAUUCUCUAAGGCAUGUUACUACAUUCAAAGCAUCAUUUUAAUUGGUUAAUUGUGAACUAGUAAGUGGUGACUAUAAGUAUGUGCUCAAGUGUAAGGAUGACCAAAAUCUGUGGGAAUGAUGAUUUUUAACAUGUUAUGUUUCAUUAAAAAUCCCUAAGGCAAUUGUUGGAAGGUCUAGGUUGUGUUUUGUUUGGUUUUGUUUUGUUUGUUUUGUUUUGCUCGAGGACUAGCAAAAGCUAAGUGUGGGGGAAUUUGAUAAGAGCAUAUUUAUGAGACUUAGUUAGCUUGUUUCUUGGCAUUUAUGUUGUUAGUUCGUAGUUAUUUUAGUAUUUUAAGCUAUUUUCGUGUGUUUGUAGGUCCAAAGGGUUAAUGUGGCAAAGAAGUGCAUUUUGGAGCAUUUUUGGGCAUGGAAUGGAUAGCAUAUGCUUGGAGCAAAAGGAAUGGACAAAAUUUAAAGUUUGUGCAUCAUCCUCUCCCUAUAAAUAACCAUUUAGCACACUCAUUUCACCCAACACAUCCAUUCACCUACCACUACAUCCACUCAUUUCACCCAACACAUCCAUUCUCCAAACAUUCAUCCACUACACCCAUUACAUCCACUCCUUACCAAACAUCCACCCACUACACCCAUUACAUCCAUCCACUACACCCAUUACAUCCACUCAUUACCAAACACUCAUCCACUACACCCAUUACAUCCACUCAUUACCAAAUAUCCACCCACUACACCCAUUACAUCCACUCAUUACCAAACACUCACCCACUACACCCAUUACAUCCACUCAUUACCAAACAUUAAUCCACUACACCCAUUACAUCCACUCAUUACAACUCCAUACACUCCUCUCCCUAGCCUAUAAAUACAUCCACCCUUCACCAUAAUUUGGGGGGCCAUCAUCCAAAGACACCACAUCAUCUACACAACUCUCCACCCUUCACCAUAACUCACCUAUAUCCAUCCACCAGCAUAAGAGACCAUCCAUUCACCACUCACACCUUGGUGCCGCAUAUUUGCAAGGAAGGAGGAUUGCUUGGAGUUGUGCUAGUCAUUCAAUUUAGAUUGCUGGAGCAUUCUAGGUGUAUUUUACUUUGGUUUUCAAUGUUUAAUUUCAAUUGUUUCUGUUUAAUUGCAAGUAUGAGGAACUAAACCUCUUUUGGCUAGAGGAGAAUUCGAAACCAUGAAUAUAUUUGCAAUAUGAAUUGAUUUCUUCCAAUUGUGAUUUGAUAAGUUGUGAUUGCAAUUCAAUUAUCUAUUUUAUUCAUAACGGAUUUGUGUAUGUUUAUUAAGGAUGCAUACUUAGUUUUCAUGCAUGAAUUUGAUGCUAGGAUAUAAAUAAGUUUCACCUAAUCGUUACAAGUUUAUAUUCAUGAGUAGUGAAGGUUGUUUGUCACAAUCGCGUUAAUUGAAUUCUUGGCAAACGUAUCAUGCAUUCAUAGUUACAAUUGCCUCGUCAACGCUUAUGAUUUUCAUGGAACUUAAUGAUCUUUAAUUGUAUCUCUAUUAUGCAUUCAUAUAGGGGACUUUAGAGAAUGAUUUGGGUUGUCGCAUGCAUUCAUCCAAUUCAAUGAAUAAAGGAAAAUCUGAGGGUUAAUUUGUGCAUCACGGUUAAUCUGGGGUGUUGAGCAUCAUAGUUUAUUGAAAAGCAAUUGGAGAUUGAUUUUUAUGCAAGUGUGUCAUGUGUGGAGAAAGACCUUCUAGCUAGCCCAUCAUCCAUCCAAAACAACCAAUUUCGUGCAAAUCUGUUUAGUUCUAGUUUCUGUUUUGUUUUACUUUAUUUUCGUCCAAAACCCAUUCCCCCUUUACUUUAGUGUGUCUAAUUAGUUAGAAUCUGUUUUAGUUUGUGUUUUUAAGUGUUUUGAGUUUAAAGAGUCUAGUUAAGUGUUUUUAAGUUUCUUUUUGUAAGUCAGUUUAGUUUAGAUUAGCAAUCCCUCCUAAUCCCCGGUCCAGAACGAUCUCUACUUAUACAUAUACUACAAUUAUCAAAAGAGGGUUUAAUUUGAGUGUUUAACUCUCAUCGCAUCACAAGGAUGGAAGGUUAAAGUGAUGAAAUGAUGCAUGAAAUCUGGUAUAAUGGAGGGGACAAGAAAUGGUGCAGCAAUGAGUGCAUGGAGUGGAGGUUAAAGUGAUAAAAUGAUGCAUGAAAUCUAAUAUGAUGGAGGGAACAAGGAAUGGUGCAUCUAUGAGUGCACGGAAUGGUGUAUGAAAUGAGUGCAUGAAGGGGACAAUGAUGAUUAUGCACGGCAUGGGUUGAAAGGAGAAUGAGUGGUGCAUCAAUGAGUGCAAGGAGUGGACAAGAAUAUUAUGCACAUGGUAGACAAAGGAAAAGAAGUGGAUUGGUGCAGCAAAUGAGUGCAUGGGGGGACAUGGAUGAUGAUGCACGGCAUGGGAAAGGAAAGAUGAUGGAUGGUGCAUCACUGAGUGCAUGGAGUGGAGGUUAAAGUGAUGGAAUGAUGCAUGUAAUCUGAUAUAAUGGAGGGAACAAGGAAUGGUGCAGCAAUGAGUGCAUGGAAUGGUGAAUGAAAUGAGUGCAUGAAGUGGACAAAGAUGGUGUGCACGGCAUAGGAAAGGAAAGUGAGGGAUAACACCCCUUUGUGGCUGAGAAUAAGGCUUCUAGAAUCCUUUAUUUAGUGUCAUAAUAUCUUUGGGAACCCUCAUUGUGGCUGGAACUUAGUUGGAUUAGGAUAAAGAAAGGUUAAAUCAAAAUAAGGUAAUCUUGACUCAUGUUUCUUCUUUGGUUGCUGAGCUCUUUGUCCUCUUUAAGUUAAUUCUUCUUUCUCUUUAACACAUUCCUAGCCUCUUUAGUCUUCAAUUUCGUCCAUCCACCUUGCUCCAUGCAUGUGUUAUCCAUUACAAGCCCAAAACUACUCCAAAAUGCACCUUAUUGCUUUAUAAGGCCUAUGGAUCUACAAACACACGAAAAUAGCUUAAAAUACAUAAUUAACUAAGAAAUAACAACAUAAAUGCAAGAAAACAAGCUAAUCAAGUCGCAUAAAUAUGCUUCUAUCACUGCUGUGACACCUGAGGCUGCGAGCGCUCACACCAAGAAAAUGAAGUUUGUCUCGGUGGUCAGCCUCACAAUGAAGAAAUCCCUAACAAAACCAAGGGCAUUUUCAUUGAAGGGAUAGUAGAAGAUUGCGAUGAGGAUGGUGGUGAAGGUUAUGAUUCGCCAACUAGGUUGUUUCUUCGAAAACGACUCGAGGAAAAAUCUUGGCAAGUUAAACAGAUUUUCAGCCGAGAAGUAAAAAGCAUUCUUGAGGUAAUACAUAGUAAUGGUGACACACAUAACAAAUUGUUCAAACUAUUGGUUAGUAAAUGAUGCGUAAAUUAACUUAACACACAAAUUAAACCCUCUUGUUGAUAAUUGUAGUAUGGAUAAGUAGGGAUCGUUCUGGACCGGGGAUUAGGAGGGAUUGCUAAUUUACUCUAAACUGAAUUAGAAACACAAAAAUAAACUUAAAAACACUUAACAAGACUCACAAGACUCAGAACAAACUUAAAAGACUCAAAACUGCCUAAAAACAACACUAAGGCAGUUUCUGCUACUAACACAAGUUUUGGACGAAAAUUGAUUAUAUCUUGACUCAAAACACUUAGAAACACAAUCUAAAACAAGUUCUAACUAAUAUGACUCAAUAAAGUAAACUCAGGGUUGGUUUUGGACGAAAAUAAGUAAAGCAAAACAAAAACAAUUUAAACAGAUUCUUAGACAAAUUUAGGUGAAUUGAUGGGUGAUCGGUUAACUAGGGAGUUAUUCUCCACACAUGACACACUUGCAUUCAAAUUGAUUUCCAAUUGCUUCUCUCAAUAAGUCAUGAAACUCAAUACUCCAGGUUAACUGUGACAGCACUUUUUUAACCUUCAAGUUCUCCUUAAGUUAAUGAAUUGGAUGGGAAAGCACAUACAACAACUCAAAGCAUUCUCUAAAAGUCCCCUAUGUGAAAAGCAUAAUAAAGGUACAAUCAAAGAUCAUUAAGUUUCAUGAAAACUAUAAGCAUUGACGAGGCAAUUGUUACUAUGAAAAGCAUGAAACUUUUGCCAAGAAUUCACUUAACACGAUCGUUUAUAAGCGACCUCCACUACUUGCAAAUAUAAGUUUGUAACUAUUAGGUGAAACUCCCUUAUAUUUUAGCUUCAAAUCCUUGCAUGAAAACUAAGUGUGCACUCUUAAUAAACAUACAAGAAUAAGUUAUCAAUCAAACGGUUAAGCAAAUUGAAUUCACAACUUAUGAAAUAACAACUGAAGGUAAUCAAUUCAUAAUGCAAAUAUAAUCAUGGUUUUGAAUAGCCCCCUAGCCAAGAAGGGCUUAGUUCCUCAUAAAUGCAAAACAAAGAUACAUAAAUUUAGACAUUGAAAACAAAGAAUGAAAACACCUAGAAAUGCUCCAACAAUCCAACGUCUUGAAUGGCAAGCAUGUCCAAGGGUCUCCUUCCUUCUUCUUUGCUGCGGCAUAAGGGAUGGUUGAAGGUUUUUGUGAUGAUUUGUGGUGGUGGAUGGAUAUAGGUUGGUUAUGGUGAAGGGUGGAGUCCUCAGAAUGGUCAGAAAGGGGUCUUAUUUAUAGGGAAAGGAAGGGCUACGAAUUUAUUAGAUUUGGAAUCCGAAAUCAAUGGAAAAUAGGCAAGAAAGGUGCAGGAAUUAAAGAGAAUAGGAAAGGGAAAUUCGGCAGAAAUUGUAGGACAAAUUUAGGAAUGUGUUUUGAGGCACAAAAUAGGUAAGAAUCCUCUCCCCUUGUUCAGCAAGAAUUGAAACAAAAUGGAAUGUAAUUUUGGGUCAGAAAUAGGUAAGAAAGAAUCAGAAAUUAAAGAGAAAUAGGUAACAAAGAUGUGGCACAAUAUAGGAAAGGUACUUAAGGUCAGAAAUUAAAAGGGAAAGAGGAUGUAUGGUGCGGCAAGGGACAAGGGAGAAAGGGAAAGGUGUUUUUGGUUCAGAAAUUAGGGAAACAUGGCAAGGGAAAUUGUUGCACAAGAGGAGACAAGGAUGAAGCACAAAGGGGACAAGGCGCCACCUUUGUAGGAGAUGCUGAAAUUAUGUCUUCUAAGCUUCCAAACUGACUUCUAACAUCCUUUAGGCCUUCAAUUUCGUCAAUCAAUAUUACUCCAAGCAUGAGAUAUUCAAUUCAUGCCCAAAACUGCUCCAAAAGGCUCCAAAUUGCAUCUUUUUGCAUACUUUGUCCUUAGAACCUGAAAUUGCACGAAAAUGACUUUAAACACUAAAAUAACUAAGGAAAACAACAUAAAUGCCAAGAAACAAGCUAACUAAGUCACAUAAAUAUGCUCCUAUCAAAUUCCCCCACACUUAGCUUUUGCUAGUCCUCGAGCAAAACAAAACAAAACAAAACCUAGACCUUCCAACAAUUGUCUUAGGGAUUUCCAAUGAACAUGACAUGCCAAAGAUCAUUACUUACAUAGAUUUUAGUCAUCCUUACCCUCAAGCACAUACUUAAUCAUAGUCACCAUUUACUUGUUCGCAUUUAAUCAAUUAAAACAACAUUUUGAAUGUAGUAACAUGCCUUAGAGAAUUCCCUCAAUUCCUUACUAGAUAUGCACUCAAUUUUCACUCAGAUUUUCUGACUACACACCUUACACUAGGUAUAUGUGAGAAGAUUGAUGUAAACAUGAAAACUAGUACUCACAUAUGUUAUAGCAAAGAAAGCACUUUUCUGGACUUAUUAAUGCAUGUAUAUAUAUGAUCUAAUGGACGGAAUGCCACUACUUAGACGCGAGAACCACUGAUAUCAUAUGCUCAUACCAAUUCCAAACUCCACAUAUUGAAAUACACAACACUCAAGAUGGAAGUCAAGGGUUGUAACGGGGCUAAGGGCGUUGGCUAACAAAGAAAGAUAAGGAUAAACAAAGGUUCUUUAAAGAAAUAGUAAGCAAACUAAUGAAAUUGACACUUAGAAUUCACUUCUGAAUGCAAAAAUCAACUUUUAAACACAAGGGAAGAUUUAUGCAACACUUAGGGCCAAAUUCAAACUUUUGGACCCUUUCUUCAACAACCAACACAUGUGAGUUCAUUCUCACUUAUUUUUCAGCUCUUUUUCAUUCUUUUCACACCCUUUUCUUUUUCUUUUUCUUUUUCCACGAAUUUUUUUUUAUUUUUUUUAUGCCCUUUUCUUUCUUUUGGCACACAAAACACACUUUGAAAACCCUUCCCCCACACUUGUUUUUCUGCAAAAAUCAAAAGGAAUUCCCUUUAAGUCAUGCUUCACUAUUCUUUAAGAACAAGGGUGUGGACAGUUCUAAUCUAGGCUAGGUAGGGAUAAUGUGGUUAACAAAGAAAAUAGGCUAACGAAGGAUCAAAGGGGGUUAAACCUACAAAACAUAUGACAAAAGGGAUAGGCUUUUUGGCUUUGGUGGUAACUAAACAACUUCAUCUUGAAUAUGUGUUAUGCACUCAAUAUCAUGCUUUGAAUGGAACGGGCAUGAGUUCUAGUAUUUGGAUCUAUAAUGAUGAAACGCAUUCUAAGUAGCAACCAAGCAAAGAAUGAAGAGAUCAUGGAACGACUUUAGAAAACAAGAAUGCACAGAUUAAUAACUCUCCAAAUAACGUUUAGGCUCAAGUCUCACAAGGAUGUAGCGUUAGUUUGAGUUCCUUCCUUCAAGCAUGUUACAAAAACUGAUUUUUUUCCUUUUGUGAUUAUAUGUGAAUUCGUAAACUAUAACUACAACCAAGCAUAAACCACAGAGCAUAUCAAACUUACAUCCAUGUUUAUAACUUUCUUUAACAGUCAUGCAAUUAAAAACCAAAUCCUCAUCAUUGUGUUGGAAGGUACCCUAAGACACAAACACACAAAAACGAUUCAAAAACAACUAUUUUUGGCUUUUUCAAAACAAUUUUUCAAAAUUUUAUCGAAUUUUCGGAUUUUUACUUCAACACACACCAAAACAGCUCAAAAUGCACUAAAAACACUUAAAAACAGUGAGAAACAACUUUAGAGGGGAUAGGUAAUACAACCCACGAAUUUGCAUCAAAAAUACUUUGUUAUCCCCCCACACUUAAAUCAAACUUGUCCUCAAUGUUUUAAGCAUAAACUCACAGAAAGCAACCAAACAAAAAAAAACAACUAAGCUUGAUAAAAUAAAGGCAGCAAAGAUAAAAAAAAACAUAUGAUGAUACUUUACGGACAUUUCACAACUAAUCUAGUUUAAUUGUUUGUUUGGCCGUCUCAUAUAAAUGUUUAUACGCUUAAACGAUAAGUCCAAGGAAAUAUGAUUGGGAGAAUGAUCUAAAGAAGUUACAUUCAUGAGACCAUUCUUCGUAAACACAUCCUAAAUUCCUGAUCAUAGGAUUGCCAAUUGGAUCAUUGAGGAUUGUGCAGAUCUGUUAAAAGAGUCGUGUUGACUUCUUCUCAAAAGAGUGACUAGUCGUGUCAUUGGUCUUGACCUCAAGGACAAGUGGGUCUCGAGUCAUUGGUCUGAAUCAAGACAAGCAUGUAGCUCAAUAAUGAAUGAGUCCACUGAACAUGAUCAACGAGAGAGUCUCUCAUACUCAUGUCACAUGAGAACUCAUGGUUCGAAUAAUGCAAAGUAGUCCUUUGACCUGAGGCAUCAUAGUUGUCUUGUGAUUAAGUCCUUGAUCUUUGAUUAUGUCAAAGUCACUCCAUCAGGAGGGUGUCCACGGCAUCGUCGGGGUUAAGCCACUUAGCCAUGGAGGCAAGUGAAUGCACAACAAGGGAUCUCUAACCUUCAAACCGUUUGAGGGAGAAUACUCUAUGAUAUGAUUAAGAAUCUCUGGCCAGAG